rnacentral:rRNA from 1 species
GGGUAAACUAAAUUCCCCUGUCUCCUAGAAAAUAAUAAAAAUUUACUUAUUAGUGAAGAGGCUAAUAUUUUUUUAAAAGACAAGAAGACCCUAUAGAGCUUCCCGUAUAUUUUCUAAAAAAAAUUAACCGGUUUUGUUGGGGCGACAAGGGAAAAGAAAAAACUUCCCUUAAACUCAAGGCCAAUAAGCCUUUACCACUACCCUUUUAAAAGGAUUUAAAAAAGCUACCUUAGGGAUAACAGGCUAAUUCUUCUUUAGAGCCCUAAUCGACAGAAGAGAUUGGCACCUCGAUGUUGGCUUAAGGUCCCUAUUUAGCGCAGAAGUUAAAUUAGGUGGUUUGUUCAACCAUUAAAUCCUU